UGAAACUGUUGUUGAUAUUAAUACCGAUGAUUAGCUUAUGCUGGAUGGUGGUAAUCUAUCUUAACUGAUGUUCUUGAUUGUUUCUGCCGUGCGGGUGAUCCUUUAGCUGUGGUCGAAUGGAUGAAGAAAAUUGUGGUUCAUUAUACAUGUUCUUAGUUAUGUAAUUCUAAAAUUCACUGAAUAUGAUGUUGAUGCUAUGAUGCAUCCUUUUUGGAUUGUCAUAUGGGGUUGAAUUUUGCUUUGAAAAAUUCUGUGAAAAAUUGGUUCAACUUUUGAGCUUCAUCCUUCUACAUGAAUAUCUUCUGCUUUCCCUUUUUGUACUAUGUCAGCUCUUCGUCAGCUCUUUUAAAUAUUGUUUCUUUUUGAGCACUCUCCUUCUUUGCUAUUCUUCAUGCAGGUCUAGUUUUUAAUGAACCCUAGUUUUUUCAUUUUACUAGGAUGAUUGAUGACACAUUGACACCACUAACACAUUGUCUCAGUCACCAGAUUUUGCCCCCCUGUAUUUCCAGGUUUUGGAUGCUUAUGAAGAUGAGUAUGGAGGAAUCAUCAUCGAAUCAGAGAGAUUGCCUUGGAAUGCAAAUGUCUUUGCUUCUGCCCUGCGAGCAUCUCUUUCCCAGUGGAAAGUUGAGACUUGCUUCUACAAUGCACAAAAUAUCUUCAAUUUCCAAUGAAUGUCAUGUGGUGGCUUCAUUUUAUAUCUGCAGCCCGGUCAAUA